AUUUUUUUGUUGUUUUAAAUCACGUUUUAAAUGUUGUUUAAAUGCUGAAUUUUGUUUUUUGUUCUACUUGGUUCUACUAAGCCAAAAUUUCUAAGCUGUAUCCAAAAUGACUGCCAGUGAACUAAAAAAGUGUUGCAUUUAUUUAGAAAGUGAUAAACUAACCGAAAGAAAUACGUAUUGCACAAAACUAAAUUCUGCCUUGGAAAUUCAAGAAUCUAUUAAUAUAUUAAACAGCGGAAAAGCCUCUUGGGAAAGACUGAUAAAAUCUUUGCAGAAAUGCAUUAAGAAGGAUGCAGCGAAAACAUUUGUUGAUGAUUCUAAGAAAAUGAGUGGUUCAAGCAAUAUCCCUGCAAAUUAUUUAAGUAUUGAAUUGUUUGUGAAAGUUGUUACAAAGGCCAUUAAAGAAGAUGGAGAAAUAAAUAUCAAUGAGUUGGUUAGUUAUAUACUAGGAUGCAUGUAUGACAUUCAGAUGAAAAGAUGCUAUGAAAAACAGUUAUUGGAUAUUUUACAGAAAAUAUUGUCAAAUUCCAAAUGUAGAGGAGCUCUAGAAGAAGAGGAUUGGGAUGAAAUAUACUGUAUGUUGAAGCGUUUUCUAGAAGAAUGCAAUGAGAAUUUAGUUGUCUCUCACUGUUUUAUGAUUCUAAUUAAAUACGGCCCAACAUAUGGGCUCCCUCCUAGAUUACUGAGAAAGGAAUUUGCCUUUUUGACAAAGAUUUGUCAAAAGGUAACAAUAAACUCGCCAAAGCCUAUUCAAGAAGACAUCAUAGAAACUGCCCUCGACUUUUGCAAACACACUGCCAAAGAUAAUCGUGUCUCAUGUUGCAAAUUUGGAGAAGAAGUAUUCAGAUCUUUAGCAGAUAUGUAUGAAAUGAAUGGAAAACCUGAAAAAACAAAGGAACUGUUAGUACAAUUUUUCCUCUUCCAAAUGAUAAUCCACCAUCCGAACGGUGUUCCAGAAGGCCAUAGCGCAGCUUAUGCCCAUGGUUGGAACAACUGGAACAAAAUUGUAAAGACUAUUUACAGUAUAAUCUCAAAAGAAAUAGGUUGGUUUUUAUUCAAAAGUAGAAGUGAGUUUUAUCAAGAAACCAGUUCAUUUUUCAAACAAGAAAACGAGAGGAUGAUUUUAAGCUCAGUUUUUUCCAGACUUCACGCCGAAACAGUCAAACAGUUAUUCAUGUGUCCAGAUUUAGAUGUCACUAUAUCAAUGGACUGUUCAUAUUAUAAUCGAUCACAAAAAAAGCAAAAAGUAAAUUUAAGUAUGAGAGGAUUGAUAGAUAAUAUUCAAGACACCAAAAAUUGGUUAUGGAUACAUCUUGUAAGGCGCUUGAUCCAGAUUCAUCCCAGUGUUAUACAAAUAGACGAUUACGUUUGUCUCCUAGAAAUAUUAUCUUCGAUUCAAAUUGAAAAGAAUGAGCAUGUCUAUUAUUGUUUAUCGACAAUGCUGCACAUGGAAAAUAGUUUAGAAAUAGGAAAAUUCCAUCAAGAGAAAUUAAGAAAGUUGUGGAAAGUUAUCGGAGAAAAUACUACUAGGGCAUUUGGCUUAAACCAACACAAAGAUGCCACCGAAGCCCUCUUAGAAGAAUUAAUCGGCAGAGAAAUAGUAGACUUCGAUGACAUUCUUCCAACUUACCAGUCUGACGUCAUUAACUUAACGCUACAGAGCAUCAGAACUUACAAUGCUGGUUUACGUCACAUGAUCCUAAACAACGAUGUGCAGAAGAACGAGUGUAUAAUGAAGAGCGUACUGAAACCCCUAACUCACACAGGAUGUCACUAUCUUCGCAAUAAAGAUACCGCCGCAUUCCUAGUAAGACUGAUUUUAAAGCAGUGGCAAUCCAAAGACCAACAACCAAAAAGUGAAGCAGUUGACAUAGACGAGUAUGACAAAUUAACAGAAAUUUAUUUUAAAUCUUUGUUGGACGAGGAAACGUUGACAUUAACAAGUAGUAUCCACACUACGGUCAUUAAAGCUUCACCAGAUAUACAACGAGAAUGUGUUACGCUGCUAGCUACAAUGAGUUCAAAUUUUGUAAAAGAUAAUGAAAGUGUAGAAGUUUUGCUAAGUAAAAUCGCGCUCUUAGUGAAUAUUGCUAGCUGCGUUACGGAAUAUCAGAUAAUGUCCGAGGAAGAUAGUAAAAGUUGCUGGUUUGGAAUGAUAGAAGAACUUUUCGAAGCUGAUAGUCUUACGGAAUUAAAUUUGACUGAGUAUAAAAUCGAGAGAGAAAUCAAGAGACUUAUAGAUUGUGUUAAUAUUCUGAAUGACUUAUUUUCGUUGGACGUCGCCAAGUGGGCAAUGGAUAAUCUGAAGGAAUUGUUUCCGUUUAAGUUGUUAAAAAAGCUUUCUGAUGUUUUAAAUCGCCUACAAAACGAUCAAACUAGAAGUUCCACAUUGCUUCCAAAGUUGAAGACAUGUAUUCUUCAAGCUUUGUCAAGUUUUGGAUGCUUUUGUGGAAACAUUCUAAACAAAAAGCAAAAGGACGUGUUGGAAGUAUUAGUAGCGUUUAAUUACAGCUACAAUAACGACGAUGAUUACAAUUUGUGUGUGUCGUUUCUCAAAUCCGUAACAGUAUCUCAACCAGGGGUUUUGACUGACGAUAUUCUCGAAAACGUCUUACGAUGCAUUCAACAGUUGUGCAUGGCGAGAUAUCAGGAUAAGGCAGAAGAUAUACUACAUAUAUUACAAGGUAUGUUUCCCCAUAUAGCUGAAUGCGGAAAUAUGGAAUUCAAAAAUGUAUCUAUGUUGCUGCUUAAACCUUUUUAUGACAACAUCAAAAGAAAUGGGCCUAGUGUGCAGUUGGCUCUACUCAAUUGUCUACAGAAAUUAUGUGAGCUGGAUCCGUGCAACAGUUUCACAAAGUGGGAUGGUACGGAAAUAAUCCGAUUCGUACCUGAUUUUUUGAUAAGUGAUUACCAGGAAGUGCGAUUUAAGUCAAUCGAUGUCUUGAUCACUUACUUCAACAAAAUCUCCGAUGCUAGCAAUAGUGAAGACAUCCACAGACAAGAAGAAAUAUUUAUGAAAGUCUACGAAAUGAGUGUAUCUGUCUUCAACAUCGACGAAAUAACGACAAAUGAAAGAAGAGUAGACGAAGUCAUCUCUAGAACAGCUAGCGUAUUACUUACUUUCGGAGAAAUAGCAACAAACUGUGAUAAUUGGAUAAAACAAAGUAUAUAUUCGCUGAUGAAAGUAGCAUAUUAUACUAAAGAUAUGGAUUCGUUGGACAAAAUAAUUAAAAUUAUUAACAAACGGAAGUUUCAACAGUCCGAAGGUAACAUCUUAGAAACGUAUGUUUCAGACUUAGUUCAAAAAUGGUGCGCCGAUGGAUAUUCUUUCGAAAAUUUCCAGUAUACACUAUUUAACUGUUCCACGAAAUACCAUUUUUUCAUAAAAUACUUCGCCGAAUGUGCUCCAAUUUUGAUGACGACUGACGCUGCUAAUGAUAUUAUAAUAGUUGCUAAAGAACUUGUAGCAAAGGAUAAGAAACUUGUCAAGAAAACUGGAGUAAACAUAUUUACAAGUAUCAUAUGUUCCGAUCUAGACGAUAUGACAGCUGACAUAGUGGCCAAAAACAAGAGAUUGCUCAAGUAUUCGAGGGUAAUCGGACAUGAUCGUCUAAAGGGUGCUUUAAAAACCAAUUUAGGUCAAAUUGUAGUUGGAAUAUUGGAUUUUUUAACUGACGAAAAUGCUAUAGAGUCUCAUUUUGGGGAAACUGUCAUAUUUUUCGUGAAGCAUCUAAGUUCGGUUGAUGUUAGGAAAUGUUUUAAAUUUGUGGAGACAUUAUUUUGUAACAAUGAACCCUUAGCAAACUUUUUAACAAGCUCUAGUCUUUCGAAGUUCGAAAACGUUCUACUUGAACUCAAAUGUAAUAUCUACAAGAGCCAAUUCUUCAUGGACAAGCUGAAGUGUCUCUACGCAUACAGGUUUUUCGUAAACAUGAUCAUAAGUGAGCUAAAACCCGACAGCUCAUGGAGAUUCUUUUUUAUAAGGGACGUGAUAAAUACAUUGUUUAAUGUUAUCGAUAAUAAUAAAGACAGUACAAGGAUUGAAACGGCAACGUUCAGAUUUGUAAAUAGCUUUCUGAGACAGGUUUUUAAAUUUUUGACCACCAAAGAUAUCUUUCCCGAAAUUGUGAGCUUACUGAAAAAGUUUUACUUUACCAGAACUAGUAUAAAGAAAGGAUGUAAAGAACUAUUGGUGUUUUUGGUAGUAGACAAUGCCACACAUUUCGAAGAGCACAUUAAAAUUUUGGAUAGCUUUCCUGAUCAUGAGGACUUCCGUGAAAUACGAAAAGUACAGAAAAAAAUCAAGUAUGGCGACCAAGAUCCAGGCGUGGAGGAAAAAAUCGAACAGUUUUUGAAACACAAAGACAUUUUAACCAAAGGAGAUAGUUUGCAUAAUUUGAGAGAAAUUUUAUGCGACCAAAAAAUUAAGUUAACUGGAUUAUACGAGAAAUUGCAAGAUAUUAGAGGGUUUUCUGAAGAUUGUGAGCAGAGUUUGGUGCAUAGAUUGGUCUGCAUGCUGUGCCAACUGAGUUAUUCAGCGGAUCAAAAUGUUAGUUUUGAAGCUGCAAGAUGUCUAGGUGAAAUAGGUCCGAUAAAUUUACAAACUUUAGUUUUGCAAGCGGAAAAUAACCUAGUUCAUGUUCGACACUCUCCGUUUGAGAUUAUAUGCGGCACCACCAUUAGCUUGUUAAUGAAAUACCUUAUUGAAUGUGAUAUAGAGGUGAUACGGAAAGCUAGUAAGAUGUUAUAUGUGGCCUUGAAAACCAAAGAGGGAAAGAAAAUUGUAGGUGAAGGUGCUGACUUCGGUUACGGUCCUAUAAACAAGAAUGACAUAAUUCCAUUUUAUCCGACAUCUUCCUCCUCAUCUCAGAGAGUUAAAGUUGAUGUAAAUAGAUUUAUAGAAAAACUUGACUCCGACGAACUUUGGUGUCCACGGCGGAAUGUUAGCCAUCAAUCUUGGAUAAAUUUAUUAGUUUCUAGUAUGUUAGAGACCUUCGUUGAUAAUGACUUUUUAAACGGACUUACAGAAAUUUGCAACGUUAAGGUAGAAUUUUCUGAACAUCUAUUACCACUUUUAGUGAAUUUAUUAGUAUUAUAUGGCCAUAGAUCAGUAACCAACAUAUUGUUCAAAAACAUCGAAUACUUUUUCUCUGAGCAUUGGAGAUUGACAGUGCAAGAAAACAGAAAAGAAGAAUUAAUCGCAGUCAACAAAAAAUCUGUUAAAUGUAUGCUGAACGUGGUAAAUUAUGUACGCCUAAUGAAAAAUUGCAGUGUUUACAAGUCUAGACCAGUCAUAAAUGAUGAACUAAAAGUCAACAAUCUUAAAGUAGCGAAGGCUGCAGAAUUCUGCGGCAAUCAUUUCUGUGCCCUGUACUACUCAGAAUUAUGGUGUCAACAAAUCGUCGAAAGUCUUCAAAGUGACGACCCUGUAUAUUGUGAGCAACGUUCAACUAUGAUCGAUUUCAUAUACGAACAUGAGAAACCGGAAGUAGGAGAGACUUUACACAAUAUUUUAAGAAAUGCUUACAAAUCCAUUGGAGACUUCGAUGCUUUACCUCUUGGUUCGUCCUCGAAAGAGGUGAUGGAUAGUUUCAAGAACGACAGCCUGUACCAGAUCCCCGUAAAUUCUUCUAAAUUAGACGAACCCGAAUAUGAGUGUCUGUGGAGGUUGGGGCAUUGGAACUUCGAGGAGAAAAAACGAAAUGUGAACGAGACUACGAUAGUUCAUAAAGAUUUUGAGAAAUACAGGUUUUAUUCUCUAAAGGCCUUACACGAUAAUAACAAAUACGCUUUCGAGGAGUCUUUUAACUGUCAACUUUUUAAUGUAGUGAAUGAUAUAAAGAACAUCAGUUUGGAAAGCAGUCAUAACUUGUAUCCAGCUUUAACCCAACUGCAGUCCUUGAUCGAAAUUGAAGAUUUUUACAAUUUUUUGAGAGUUGGGAAUCGAACUUCAUUGACAAGGAAGUGGAAACUACAAGAUAACUUUAUUAGAAAAAGCGAUUUUCAAUAUGUAGAGCCGAUUUUUACCCAACGGUUGGUUAUGCUGAGGGAUUACCUACAAAAAGAGACAAACGAUGACGUUAUUCGGCAAUAUGUGAUUGAUUUGAGCUUGGACUUCGCAAAUCGGGCCAAGGACGAAGGACACUUCAAAGAAAGUUCCACAAUUUUGGAGAAUUUGAAAGGAAUUUCAGGAUUAAAUAGUGAAACUCUGAGCAAAAUUGAUGUGAUGGACGUUAAAUUAUCGUGGUCAGUUAACAAUACACUUGUCGCUAGAGAGAUACUCAAUACGUUGUGCAAAAGCGACCAAAUAAGUCCCAGAUUAAAAGCGACCGCUUUGAAGUUGACAGGCCAGUAUCUGAGUGAAACUAACGCAGAAAAUAGCUCCACUAUCAUCUCAGAUUAUUUUCUCGCCUCUAUUCAACAGAUGGAAACCGUGAGAAGCGAUGUUGAAGACAGGAAAAGUGUUAUGGAUACGUAUGAUAAACUUGCUGUUUUUGCCGAUCGAGAAUAUGUUCAUAUAAUGACCGCCGCCAUGAAACAAUCCAAAGAGGCAGCUUCGAGUAUUGAGAACCAAAGAAAAGGAACGUGCAAAGAAUUGAAAACCGCUGCAGUUUAUAAUCGAAAUAGUCCUAUAGACGAACAGGAAAUAGAAAGCACCAAAAUAGAAUGUAACCAGUUUUUGAACUUGGCCCUAAAAUAUUAUCUUCUUUGUCUGGAACACAGCGACGACAAAGACAUUCGAAUAUUCAGAAUAAUGUCUCUGUUCUUGGAAAACAGAAAAAAUCUCGAAAUUAGCGACACUAUUAAAGUCCACCUGCCACGCCUACCGAGUUACAAGUAUAUCGUGAUGCUGCCCCAAUUAGUACCACAUUUGUCGACAGACAACGAAAUUGACAGCUUCAAUAAGUACCUCUCUGCAAUUAUAGAGAAAUGUGCUAUGGAACACCCUCACCACACACUACCUUUGUUGCUUUAUUUGGCUAAUUCACACAAAGACCGAGAAUUUGAUGAAGUGCAUACUACUAAGACUUCUAGUAACGAUGCUAGAAUUGCUACAGCAAAAGAACUUAUCAGGAAGUUAAGAAAUAACGGGUUAUCACAAACAAUAGAUAGGCUAAACCAAGUUUCCAGGGCUCUGAUUAAUCUGGCCUAUUUCAAGCAUCCACAAGGAAACAGCGAUAGAAAAAAAGAAUACAACAUACCGAGAACUCAAAAUAUUACCAAAAUCGAAAAUUAUGACGACGUUUUGGUUCCUACUUAUCAACUUCCAGUUAGCAUUAAGAAAGAUUACUCCAAUAUCGUAGGUAUUGUAUCAUUUAAAUCAAAAUACAAAAUCGCCGGAGGAGUAAAAGUACCAAAGAGAAUAUUAUGCAGAGGAACAGACGGAAAAUACCACUCUCAACUAGUCAAAUGCAAAGACGAUCUUAGACAAGACGCCGUAAUGCAACAAGUUUUCAACAUCAUGAACAAUCUUCUGUCCUACAACAAAACCACUAAACAUUUACGGAUAAGGACCUACAAAAUCGUGCCUUUAUCGAUGAGAAGCGGAAUAUUAAAGUGGGCUGAUGAUAGUAUGUCGAUCGGGGAAUAUUUGACAGGAAACGGAAAGAACUCUGUCGGUGCACACCAAAAGUACAGGCCUAUGGACAAGUUACCGAACACGUGCAAGCGCAUAUUUGGGAAAGCUGCAGACAAGAGUCCUCAAGUCAAACUAGAAAUAUAUAAGACACUCUGCAAGAGUCUCAAGCCAGUAUUCCAUCACUUUUUUGAAGAAUUCUUCUCCCAGCCUGUUAUGUGGUAUGAAAGAAGGAGAGCUUUUAUACAUAGCGUAGCUACGACCAGUAUGUGUGGAUAUAUUCUGGGAAUUGGUGAUAGGCACACUAGUAAUAUUUUAAUAGAUAAAACUACGGCCGAAGUGAUCCACAUUGAUUUUGGUAUUGCAUUUGAUCAAGGACGAGUUUUACCAAUACCAGAAACUGUUCCGUUUAGAUUAACAAGAGAUAUGGUUGAUGCAAUGGGAGUCUCUGGAGUAGAAGGAAUAUUUAGAAAAUCAUGUGAAAGAACCAUGGAAGUUUUGCGUCAAAAUGCUGAAACUAUCAACACAAUUUUAGAAGUAUUGCUCUACGAUCCACUGUACGCAUGGACUGUUACUUCUGCAGAAGCGAAUAAACGUCAAACUGAAGGCGACGACGAAGUUGAGACUGAAUCUACAGAGCCUCCAGAAGUGCCCCAUAAUGUUUCCGCUGAGAGGGUCCUACUCCGUCUUCGUGAGAAACUUCAGGGUACAGAGCUUGGUCAUCCGAGAAGUGUAGAACAUCAAGUAGAUGCUUUAAUACAACAAGCGGUGGAUCCUGCGAAUCUAUGUAAACUAUACCAUGGCUGGCAACCUUAUAUAUAGAAAACAUAAAUAACAAGAUCUACACACAACCAAACUUAUAUGGAAUCACCAUGUAUUUCAAAGUAAUAUUUAUUUCUUUUGAAAGAACUUGUUAUUGUUGCGAAGACUAAUGGUUUUUAUUGAAAAUAAACAAAUCGAUAGGACAAUCAGAUAGUACAGCUCGGUACGGUAUAUGGUAUAAAAAGGAAAAUAUGCAUCAUGUGGGGUUAUAGAACUUACAACCGGGGAAAGAUUAUUGGUCUUGUGGAGCAAGUAAUGUUCUUAGAGGGACAUAUCUGCAGAGGCAUAACACAGGGCGUUCUGUCCAAAACCUAUGCUAGGUAACAGGGACUAGGAAAGCUCAAAAAUAAAGCAAGGGAAAGUCGCCAAAAAGUAAUAACAGCUCGCCACGAUCGUUUAAUUGUCCAAUCAGCUGGAAGACACCCAACCAUUUCUCACCUGCAGCUCCAAAGGCAGCUUUUGGAAGCUACGGGUGUAACUGUUUCGGUUGAAACGAUAAGAAGAAGAGUUCGUGCCAAGAAAUAUAUAGCAGGAGACAGUUAUGGGUUCCCAGUUUUCCAGGCAGCACAAGAUUGAUCGCCUAAAUUGGUGUCUUCACCACCAAAACUGGAACAUUGGGAAUUGACAAAAUGUGCUAUUUUCAAAAAAAGUCAGGAUUUGUGUAAAAUCAGAUGACCCACGAAAUGGUGUACUUAGAGGUCAAGGAAGACAAGCAAAAACGAAAACUGUCAGAUCUGUUCACAAAUAUAAAAGGGGAAGUGUAAUGUUUUGGAGAGAAAUUGUAUGUGUUUUGUGUUUUAUUGGCACUGGUUUUCACAACCAACUGGCCAGUCAAUUUCAUAAUGAUUUUUUAGACUGUAACUUAUAGUCCAUUCUAACUUUUUAGAUUCCCCACUAACUCAGGGGAGUAAUAUGUAGUGUGUGUGUUGAGUAAUAAGUGUCUUGUUACUUUGCAAAGUCGACGUCA
rnacentral:misc_RNA from 1 species